ensembl:snoRNA LOC120095730 small nucleolar RNA SNORA70
AGGGAGACAUGAUGUGUCUCCCUGUUGCACACAGCAGCCUUCUUUGGUAGUGUAUGUAGCCUGUUGCCUAUAUGGGUUGCCUUGAAGACAAUU